UACGGAGGGUGCAAGCGUUGUCCGGAUUUAUUGGGUUUAAAGGGUGCGUAGGCGGCUUUUUAAGUCAGCGGUGAAAGCCGGUCGCUCAACGACCGAACUGCCGUUGAUACUGGGAAGCUUGAGUUUGAUUGAGGUAGCUGGAAUGGAUAGUGUAGCGGUGAAAUGCAUAGAUAUUAUCCAGAACGCCAAUUGCGUAGGCAGGUUACUAAGUCACUACUGACGCUGAGGCACGAGAGUGCGGGGAUCAAACAGG
rnacentral:rRNA from 1 species